rnacentral:lncRNA from 1 species
CAUUUUUGGCACGAGAACGUUAUCAGCAUCACUGCUGGAAAAAGCACAACCCUGCUAUUUGCUAACAAAAUAAGGUAAUGCAUCAGGAAGAGGUGACCUAUUUACCUCCAAAACUCUGCUCCUGUUACAGGGUCUGCUGCCUCAUGGACUGGCUGUGCAGUGUGGAAAGUGAUCUGUCCUGCCUCUUAACCAACUUGAUAAUGAAGACUCAGUAAAAAUAGGACAGUCAAUUUUAAAAGGCAGCAUGAGUCACGCGUGUGAGGCUGCACAGUCGCAGAA